CCAGCUGAAGGCAUGUGGCUGUGUGUGCCGCCACCUCACCCUUGACAGCUUGUGGACAUUUUCUAUUUUUGGCCACAUGCUCCAGCUGUUCCCCUUCCAGCUCCACUGCACCUUUAACCCAGUACUGAGCUAAAGGAUAGGAAAGGAUUAGCAAGGUCUGCUGACCAUGAGGGCUGUGCUUUGAUACCUGCAGUUACUUUUAAAAGCGUUUCUCCUCUGUGUGCCAGCACGGAGUUCACAGCUUCUGUUUGUGCCACUAUGGUCUAUCAAUGUAGGAAAGCGGGACCUGUAGGCCUAGAGAGCUCUGUUGCUGUCUGGAGGUGCGGGGAACCAGGUAAGUGUAGAAGCAUUAUCUGAAAAUCAGCUAAAUCUGUAGUCCCUGAUGCUUGACCUACGGUGCAGGGAGAGGCUAGUUGUUCAUUUUCCUUUGGUCAAAAAGAAAAGAACUUUUAAUGUCAAGGCUGAUUAGGCAGCUGUGAGUAAUUGAAGGAAGUGCUAUUGUGUUUAAGAUCCUGGGAAAGUAAAUAUGAAAAAAAAGGCGGGGGGGGGGGGAAUCAUCCUCAGCUGUAAGGAAGACAGGUUAUUCAUGUUGGAGUUUGGUAAAUGGUCCUAGAUAAAUGCCAGGGAGGUACCAGCUGCUUUUCUCAUUACAUCCUGGUGGGGAGGCUGGGGAGUGAUGAAGUGGCCAGGGGGGCCAAGUACAAGAGAGGAUCUUUCCUGACUAUAACACAGAAGAAGCCUGCACAGAUGGGUUCACAGACAUACUCUUUAAUCCCAAGUGUGGCAACAGAUCUGGAUCUCCCCUCAAUAAUACGCUAAGGUUCCUUGCCUGCUCUUUAUUAAUGCUUGUUGUUGGGGUCCCAGCUGCAUUUCCCGAUUACUAAAAACUGUUUUGUCCUAAGAGGAUUCUCUCUGUUCAUAAAUUCAGAAAUUUCCUUCAUUUGUAUCUCAUAGCCUAGAAAAUCCAUUAAUUAUAUGCAUCUGUACAUUUGAAUGCUCUUUCUAGGAGUCAUGGCCACUGAAUACUUUGUCAAACUCUUCUGGAAGAAUUGCCACCCUUGAGCUCUACUUUGUGGGGAGAAAGAGAAGAUAGCAAAAUUAAAUUGUAACUCCUAUGCCCCAUGUGAGCAACAACUGUUUGAUACAUUAGUAAUUCAGGGAUGCAGGGAUAUUAGAAACUGCAAAACUUUCCCAUGAAACUUUUUUGAGGGUAGCUGUUGGUAUGGUAUACUUUUUCCUUAUAAAAUCUAGUCUGUAGGUAAGGUAAUGCAAAAUGGAGUCAUUGCCUACCUCUCUUGUAAAUUCCUUUUUUCCUUAUAGGGAAUCAAGCGUAUGUUUGUGUGUGUGUGGGCAAAGCACACAAAAUAUUGAUUGACAUCAAUAUUUUUUACAAUACCUGCUCUUCAUUAAGCUGUUAUUACUCGUAGCAGAUAGCUAUUCAUACAACAUGUUCAGUUAAUCAUUCAGUCAGCUCACUCACACACAGUUACCCAGUUGGAGCUGUAGCUAGGAAAACAACCCCAGCUGCUUACUCAGAAGUAGUUAGCUUCUCUGUAAGUGUUCAAGUCCCUCAGAAGGUCCUUUGCUUCACCAAGUAUACGUAUACUGCUGUAGUCUUCAUGUGCAUAUGGCUGCCACCCCCUCUUGGAUGUGGUCUGAAUUACACAACCUGUGGUUGAUAGUAGUGUAUGCUCAUGUCCUUGUACAGAUUCAGCAGAUUUUUGGUGCCGUGAGUUCAUCAGCUCUUGCAAAUUCAACAAAAGAUUCCUAGUUUCCAGAGCCUGUCGUUCCAUCACAAACUUUCAUACAAAAGUCUUCUGAGUUGUAUUGGUUUU